CCCUGAGCAAAGAUAAAAAAUAGGCUUGAUUUCUGAUAUGGUUUAGUGAAAUAAUGCUGAAAUCCGUCAAGUCAACUGAGAUGUAUAUCCCUGUCAGGCUUACUGGAAAGCAAAAGUUCACCUCAAAGACACUGCGAAUAUGACUGAAUGUAACAGAUUUUCUUGCUGUCUUAUGAAAAUUGAUUUCAUUAAUUAUUUGUGCUUUUUGGUUCAGACUGUUAGUUUUUUGUCCAUUCACAUGUGAACUUCAUGGCGUUUCAUCUACACUUGAUCUACUUUUUCUUUUAUUGUCCCCAUGUUACCAGUGUGAGUUGAUUGAAUGGAAAAAUACACACUGGCUAAAGAUUCUUGUGCUUGCCAGCUCUGUGUUUAAGGCACUGUCACAGGGCAUCUGCCAGUGUCUCAAGGUUAUCAUAUGGACUGCAUAACAUAAGUAAUUUUAAGUAUCUGCUUCUCUCAACAGCCUUGAUGCCAGAAUUGUGCAUGAGGAGCAGGCAGAGAGGCCUGGGGUGUGACUUAUGGCAGCUACUGCAUUACAUAAGAAGGUCUUUCCUAGGAAGAAGAGUCAGACUCAAAGCUGUGAGAAGAAAUGAGUGAGGUGUUCCUUGCUAAGGAAACAUUGCUCUGAGAUCAUUACAGAGGAUUGUAAGUCAUUCCCACAUGCAGCAGCUUCCACAUUAAGAAGAAUAAUUCUGUUUCUUUGGAAGAUUUCACUUCUCUUGAAAUGACAUUCCCCCCCUCUUACAGUCCUCCGACGAAUAAGCCUCUGUAAAGGAGUCUCUGAUGAAUGCAGCUGAAGCAAACUCAGGCUGAAUGAACAUGGUUGAGGAGGGUUCUUCUGUAUCUCUAAAUAUCUGUGUUGACUUGAUUUACCAAAGAGCUGCUCCUGCUGCCUACCUUCCACACAGGACAUUGGGAAGCUCUUCCAGGACAGCUCAAAUGUACCUUGCUCAGCAGGCCGUGCUAAGCUGGUCAUCACCUGUGGCUGGCAUCUCUCUUAUCUGUGAGAUGACUUUCCACAUCCACAUAUGAAUGAAGCACUAAAUCAUAGAACCAUAGAAUUGUUUAAGUUGGAAGAGACCCCCUAAAGAUCACCUAGUCCAUCUCCCCUGCAGUGAACAGGGACACCUACAGCUAGGUCAGGUUGCUCAGAGCCCGGUUCAGCCUGAUUCUCCCCAAGUACAGGGCAUCCACACCACUCUGGGAAGUCUGUUCCAGUGCUUCACUACACUUACUGUAAAAAAACAAACAAACAAACAAACAAAAAAACAAAAACCACCUCCUUAUAUCCAAUCUAAAUGUCCCCUCUUUUAGUUUGAAACCAUUUCCCCUGUCCUAUCACCACAGACCCUGCUAAAGAAUCUGUUCUUUCUUACAGUCCCUUUAGACAGUGAAAGUACGGUCUUAGAUCUUCUUGGAGCCUUCUCUUCUCCAGGCUGAACAGCCCCAGCUCUCAUAAGGAGGUGAAAAUGAGCAGCAAGUUGGUGCUGUGGACACAAGGAAAUGUCCUUUUAACACUUGUGUGGUUGUUCUGUUCUUGUCUUUCUGAUUAGAAACUGCAGUCUUACUGAUUCUUUAGCAGGUUUGAUCUCCCAGUAUCAAUAUUCAUUCAGAUAUUCAACCCGCCCUGGCACUGGGCAUGUUGUAAAUAAGAAGUUAUUAUUUACAAGAAUUCUAUAAAACUGUUUCGUUCAGCUGAGCUUCAUGUGUGGAGGCCACACAGGGCUUGGUGGAGUAGUAGUUAGGUGUCUCUAAAAAGCCUGCAAAUCUGAACAAGGCAUGUGGGAUCUGACAUCACUCCUUGGUAACCCCAUUUUUUCUUUAGUAACCUUGGUCAAGUGGUAGUCUCUUUGUGUCUUGCAAUGUUAUUUUCAGAGUUGCCACAAACUGCCCAUGCUGCUACCCCAGCUCAUAUUUGUCGACCUGUUUGCUGACACUAUCCUUGUUUCCAGUGUGUUCAUCAUGUACAGAAAGCUCAGUGAAAUAAAUUCCUCCAUGGGGCCUCUGGGGGUUGCUACCCUCUUAUAAUUCUUGUAUCAACAGCCCGGGCUGCAAACUACAGCAGAAUAUCUCAGACAGAUAUUUUGGAGUGCUUUAAGAAGAAAACCUUCUCCUGAUGAUAGUAUUUUCCCCUUCAUCUUUUACAGCAGGUUGACUACAGCUAGUCAUAUAAGACAAUACAUUAAUAAAAUGAAUGCAUACAAGUCCAUUUAAUUAUAUGUUCAGAUGAUGACAUAUUUGCUGUUUCAGGCUUCCUGGAUAUUGCUGCCUGAAUUAAGAAUUUGUUUGCCACAUAUGGUUAGAGUUGAAGACAUUACUGUAGUCCUUCAAAAUUGUGGGUACUGAUGUUUCUGAAAUACCAGUUCUAAGCAAGUUGUACAAUGCUGCAAAAUAGAAUAGGGCAGAAUUUAUAGUUUCCCUUUCACAUUAUCAUAUUCAUUUAUCCUUUUUUUUAGGGGAGGGCGGUGGGGAGGAAUUCAAAAUUCAUUACACAUGGCUAAUUGUAUAGUGCUUCAAAGUCUUUAAAUUAGGUCUAGUCUAUUCGUACCCUUUUCUUGUGUUGAAAGCAGAGCUGAACUCUACAAAGAAAUAGCAUUUUUAUUUUUAUUUUUAGUUAUUUAUUUUUCUUUUUAUUUUCAUUUUUAUUUAUUUAUUAUUUUUAUUUUUGUGUGUGUUAUAAUAGGUGGUAAGUGGAGAACUAGAGGGAAUUUGCAAAGAAGAGAGGAAAUGUUAUCUUAAUUUCUUACCUGGAAAAAAACAUACAAAGAAACACACUGAGUAGAUUUACUCCUGGUAUUACUUUUUCUUACGACUGGAAAUCAUCAGAUUUUUUGAUGGACUUAUGCCAGUUUUCCUCAGGGCACUCCAAGAUAGUAAAUGUUGUAAAAUGCUGCAAGAAAAUACUGUAUUGGUGCAAUCUACUUUUCCUUUUUGAUCUCUCUCUGGCAAAAAUGCUACUUUAUUAUUAUCAUUAUUUCCUUUGAGGUUGUCUUCCUAGAUGGCUCUAUUGGAGUAAUUUUUUAUGGUUUCCUGGGCUCAAGGCAGGCUGUAUGCUGUUUCACAACAAAUAAUGAGCCUUACCAGCUGCAAAGCAGAUCCCUUGAGAAUGUGUAAAUGAUGACCCUUCUCAGAGCAACUGAGGACAAGUUUUAGAAUUUCUCAUUGCCUUUGACAUCUCUGUUUUUACCCUUGUUGAAGGAGACUUUUUACUUGAAUGGAUUUCAGGAGGCACAGACCUACCCUGAAGUCCCAGCCCAUUACUAAAAUAUAUGAAUUUUGUGUUGCACAGAGAAUAAAAUCAUGUUGAAUGGUUGUCUGAACCGGGGAUGAUAUAGAGGAAAUUAUUUUUAAACUUCUUACAUGCGUAGGGGAGAGAGUAGAUGGAGAAAAUCUGGGGUUCAUGUCUGUCAACUCAGAUCAAAGAACAGUCAGUCUUCACUGUUCUCCUAUGGAUCUACAUGGGUAUGACCUCUAUGGCUGGGUGUAAGCUUUAGUCUUGGGUUGAAUAUUGGUUAACCACAUGCGGCAAAUCAGAGGGAUUUUUAUGGCUUCAGUUCAGAUGUGCAUAAAUUAAAUUGGAACCUCUCAGUCCUAUUAUUGAUAUGUUGGGGGAAAAACAUACACAAAAUAUUUUACUUUUUCUUUAAUCUAAUCUUCUUAAACUGGAUAGGAAAUAUAUUUUCUUCUGUGAUUUGUGAUGCAGCAUGAAAAAAGCAAAUGCUGUCUAUUUGACAGAACAGUGAAAGCCUCUGAACACACCAGUGGCAUAACUGUGGUUUUAAAAAAUGGAGGAGUAUUUUUAUAUAUAUGUAUAUAUAUAUAUUUGUUUUGUUUUGUUAAAAUACAUAGUGUUGUAGAAGGGUAUUUUAAAAACAAAACAAAACAAAGCAAAACAAAGCUCAAGAACUAAUAGUUUAGCUAGUGAUCUGGUGAUUUGCCUCUGGCACUGGAAAUCAUGUGAGGCUGCUGUAAUCAGAUAGCUGUAGUACUAGAGCAAAUCCAUGAUCUGUAAUGUUCUCAUAGCGAAUACAAACUUCAGGAGAACUUCAAGUGGCAGAUGGCUUCACUUGACCCAUCCAACUUUCCUCUCUGAUCUAGCUGAAGCAGUGCAGGAGGGAGCCUCUCCUCCUAGCCGUGAUCGGUGCAUUUUAAAUGAAACUAAUCGUACCUACUGAAAGACAGUUUUCCAAGUUCUAUGACAGCAUCUUGGACUAGUAAACUUGUGUCCAAGUUACGAACAAAGUGAAGUAACUGAAUACUUACAGUAGAAAUGAAUCUGGAAAGUAGAAAAUAUGGGGUUACCAUUGGUUGUGCUGGCAGUCAGACUGAGAGCCAGCAAAUUUCACCUUUAGUCUUCCUCCCAUAAAAAAAAAAAAAAAAAAAAAAAAAAAAAAGGUGCUACAAAGGACUGCUGUAUUUGGUAAAUAGAAAUCAAUCACAGAAGUCACACUUAAGGGGGAUUUACAUAUUAAAAAAAAACAUUUUUAAACACUGCAGUGUAAUGUUUCUAAAAGCUGACCAAAGCUGCUUUGUUGGUGGAAGCCAAAAUUUCUGGGUCUGAAGGAAGACAGAAUGCUAACAGGAGUCUUUUACUUUUACACCAGUUUGAAAUCUAGCAAGGACCAUUACUGGUUGGCAUAGAAUCGUCUCAUUCAUGCUCAGUGGCCUGCAUAAAAUGCUCUCCUCAUUCAUGCUUUUCGUUCCAGUUGGUUCAUCACAGCUCCAUUAGGAUAAAGCAUCACCAGGGCUGAUAUUGACCAACCUCUGUGUUGCCCAUCUCAUGGAGCACCUGGGAGCCCCUCUGCCUUCCCAGGACUGGGGCAGAUCUGCAUUUACCCUGCUUACCAUGUGGAUAAGCAGAAUAUUUGAUUUCCCAGACAGAUCAGUCCUCAACACUUAAAAUAGUUGCCCAUUCCAACCAGUCAUUACAGUUCUGGUCAGAAAAAAUAAUAAUAAAAAAAGUUUUUGCUAGCUUUUUUUGCCAACUCUGACAAAACUAUUAAUGAUAGCAGUAGGAAAAUUGGAUGCAGACUGUGCAAAUUGCAUUUUGUCUCAAGUUAACUUCAAAUUCCCCGAUCCUAAUUUUGUGUUUCAAGCAUUCAAAUCGGCAGUGUUGUUGUUUUCAGCAACAGCUUAAACAUGUUAGAGGAAUUAAAUAUACUUAGCAGAGAAUUAUAAUUGGCUUUAGAUAAAGACUUUGGUCACAUGACAUCAGCUUUCGUCAAAUUCCUCUGUCUUUUGGACAGAAUAAUUAUUAACUGUAUUCCUUAAAUCCCAGCAUCCUGGCGAAAUAAUAGAUUUAGCAUUUUGAUAUAACACUUUAGAGGUUGUUUCAUAUUAGCUGUGUAUUUCAAAUUCUUGAGUGUAUUCAAUUUUGAUGAAAACACCCAUUCAACCAGCUGCUGAAAUUUUGCUACUAAUUGCAUUACGUGAAUCAUGUAACUUGUAGUAAUCUUUGAGUAAAUAACCUUAGAAUGCCUUUAAAAAUGUUAGGUACUUUCCUAUCCAUCAAACAUAGAAGGUUUCUGUCAAAAUCAGAGAUAAUCUGCUCUCUUACAGGAGCUGGGCUUGUUUACUGUCCAAACCUUAGUUGUGUUCUCCUCAAAAUCAGUUUCUCUCACAGUGAAACACACUGGGGUUAGUCAUUGCACGUUAAGAGACAGCAUGAGUCAGAUGACAACUUGGAAUAAACACAAGACUGUGCAAAAACCGUACAACAGGUUUUCUGCAAAGCACUUCAGCUGCCUUAUGGCAAUGCACGCAAUGCAGCUGUAGCUAUGUAGAACUUGAGCUCCGCAGAUCUCUGAACCAUUCAGACUCACUUUAGCUUGUGCCUUAUUCCUUACAUAAAGAAAGAAUGAGAAAUCAUAAGGACAGAAGGAUAAAGUCUGCUCUAUAAGAGACCUGAUAAUGAGCCUGGAUGCCUGAGUCCACUCUCGCUGGACUAAGUUUUAUUAAAUAAAGGAAUGAGCGCUUACAUAAUAGCUGAGAAUAUGUCACAGCAUUGACUGUUUCCUUCUGUUUAUGACUGCAGUGAGAAUCAUUCUAGAUAACGGCAUUAUACCAGUCAUGGCAAUCUUUUAGAAAAAGGCUAUAUUUAUUGUUCCUUAUUUCCAAGUUCCAUAAAUCUUUUAAAGAGCCUUUGGAACAUACUGAAGUAAAUGGGAUCACACUUUGUAGGAUAACGUCUCUAUACUCAGUAAAAACUGAUGCAGAUGAAUAUACAUUUUCAUAAGAAAACAAAACCAUCUGCAAACUGAAAAAUUUCCCUCAAGCAACAUCCUAAUAAUUUCUAAAAAAGAAAAUACGGUUCUUGUUUUUCUUGCCUGUUUGUUUUGUUUUUAUUAGGCACGUACAUUGCCAGUGCUUUGCAAUGUGCUCUGUUGUUUAGCAAAGUGGAACCUCCUUAUACAGUGUUAUCACUAUGGCUGUGAUAACAAGGACAAUUUAGGGCAUGCUACUGUCUGCCCUCAUUACAGUAUGUGGGUCAAAGCCCUUGUUUUGUCUUUUUUUUUUUUUUUUAAUUUAAUCUUAUGUUGUCUGAGUUCAUUCAUGCUUGAUUACUCUUUUUGGUUUUGACCUAUAGCCUUGAAAAAUGUCAAUGAAAAGAAAAAACCUGGAAGCAAAUCACCAAUAGACAGCAAAUCAUCGAUAAAAAGCAAUCUUCUCUUUUCAAAAGAGAAAAAUCUAUGGGGAGCCAACUCUGCCUACGUGACCUUGGGCAACUAUCAGUCCAUCUUGCUUGAGUAGCUGUCAGCUGUAUUUCUUUCUCUCCAGCCAGCCACUAGGCUACAAGCUGAAAUGGUUCAGAGAUGAUUUCCAUCAUGUGUGGAUUUACCCCUCCUUUCAGGAGAUAUUCCGGUCUCUGUGCUGAGGUGACCUUCUGCCUCCUGAGUGGGCAGAGCACCUGGUGGUGCGUGGGGCUCCCCCUGAGCCCCUCUGCUCUGAGUCAGGACUACGUGUGCUGGAGGGAGAGGUGCAACUUUUGCAUGAGAUUCAAAUUCCUGUCUUUUAGGAAAAGAAAAGAAAAAGGUUUUGAAUGUAAGCAGCCAGACCUCUGCAGCUCCAAGGACUGCUGCUGCAUUCACCUCCUCUCUGCCUGGAGAAGAACAGAAGUGAGAAGUUGACUGAUCUUGGCAGUGCAUGUGUGCACGUGUGAGUGUGUGUGUAUAUAGUAUUCAGCCCUCGCUGAGGUCCUCACUCCUCAGCAUGGCUGACUGCCAGUGAUUUCUUUGUUCCUGGGCGAUCCCUCUGUGUGUGUGUGGAGCUGACACUGCCCUGCUGCAUGACAAGAGAGCUGGUUUGGAAGGGGCCAGUUAGAUGUGUUAGCAUGAUGACUUUGAGCUAAUUUAGCCUUCUUUUAUUACCUGAGUUCUGUCAGAGCUUGCCUGGAUAUUUCUGCACAGACAUGUUGCCUGCUGCAUACACCUAAUUUGCACUGAUAGACACAAGAUAAUUUAAUCAGAGACCUAUGAGAGAUUCUUCUCCCUGCAGGACUGUCCUUGUGCAAGGGAGAUGAGUAUGAACAAAACUUGAAAAUCUGAGCAUACUUCAGCUCUGCAUUUGAUAUGAAUCCAUUUGGCAUGAGGGCAGGGGAUGCUGCAAUCACUGGAAUGCUGCUGUGUGUAUCAGCUCUGCAGCACAAACCUCAAGCAAAGCUGGUGCACCAUGACAUACGUAACCCACUUGUGGUCUGGGGUCUCAGAAAACCACCUGAAGGCCUUCUCCAUCUCCUCCUUUGUAUGCCAGAACUCAUGGGCAUCUCCAGAGACCUUGACAAGCAAGCUAUGGUCCUACACACACCCAGACAUACCGCUUUGCUGAACUGCUUGCUUCCCAUAGCAAAUCCUUUAUGAAUCUGUAGGGUCAUUGCUCAGCUUUUUUUCAGGACUGCCCUAGGAAGGAAGAUGGUCACAGAGAUGGAAAUGAAUUUCCUAUGUGCUACCUCUAGGAACAGUGAGAAGGAUGUGUGUAUGUGUAUGAAAUUCAAAAUGUUGGAAAAAAUAGCUCUGUGGUACACCCAGCCUUCAGACGUAAUCUUGUGAUUGCAUUAGACUGAAUUACAGUUAAGCUCAGCUGAAAGGCUGUCCACCCUAGUGCUGGCAGGUGAACUUCUGUAACUGAGCUGAAAACUCAUCUCUGCCCCUUGGUCAUCUCAGCAAGAAAGGAGUAAAGGCUGAGGUUAGAAACAGCACCAGUUUGAGAGUCCAGUGCUGCUGUCCAUCAAAUAGCACUGCUGCCUUUUCUUGGUAAUUUCUCUGCUGGAGUGGCAAUGAAAUCUCAACUUGAUAGAUUUACACUCAUCAGAAGGGGACUGACUCAUCAGCUUUGCCCUUCCAAAGGGUCCAAUAUUAGUAACUUUUAUAUUUGAUUAUCUCCAUUGCUUUGUGGGUAGAAUUGAAGAGAACAGCCUGCAAAGGAGAGCCACAGGCAAGCUACGCCUGCACAGCACUGACUUCCAACAGAGAAAUGCAGAUAGGAGACAGUCUUGCAUCUGUUGUUUGCAGGGUGACUCUCAGUGAGUUAAUGACUUGAUGAGAUAAAGUCAUAUAUUUGCAUUAUUAGGUGGAGAAAAGUUAAUGCCUUAUCCCAGUCCUGAGUCUUUUUUGUAAGCUUGUGACACUAGGAUAACUGCCUUACCAUGUCAUCUCCCUGCUCCACAGACAUAAGCUAUCUUUAUGUUCAAAGAUGUUUAUAUCAAUACAUACCUAAUAAAACCACAGUAGAUUGCUCUCAGCCUCUACUUUGCAGUCUUGUACAUCUAUUUCAGAUACAAAAGAGAGCUUAUGUAUGAGUUGAACUAAAAAAUUUAGACUGCUAUUAGAUAUUACCAUUGCUACGAUGUUUUACUGAGAGCUGCAUUCAUCUCAGUGCUGCUGGGGCUGGGACAUUUUCUCUCAUCCUUUUGGUCACAAACGAAGUAAGGCUUCCUUUGAGUAAUGUGCAUCAAAACUGGAAGAAAUGAGUCAAAGCCUCUGCAAACUGCUUAACUUCAUUGGCAGCUUGAAAUAACAGGUUGCAAUACUUUCAGAUUAUGUGUUCAGUUCUUGGUAGAGGCAGUCUGAGUUGAAUGACUGUUCUUAGCUUUGAAAAUUUUAUUAUUUUUAUUUUUUAGAAACAUCUACUUCAGCUGAAGUGACUUUGGUCUGAUGCAUAACUUGCCUCCUUCCCAUAGGUUCCAUUGCCUUGGUCAGGAUUUCUGAGAGCUGAAGAGUAAAAUGCAGAGUAGAUGAGAAGAUAAUUUUGUGCAUCUGUAGAGGUAUGUGUAUAGCUGUAUUUAAUGACGAAGAGGAAAGAAAAAAGGACAGAGGAAAGAAAAAAGUGACAGAGAAGAUAAUUUUUCAUUCUUCCCAGUGCAACUGCAGUAUGUAUCAUGUCUGGCACUUGAGAAUAACAGUGAAGAUGACAGUGUUUUAGGACCAUACCAAAAAGGGAGCCUAGGGCUCCAAUGGGACAUCCGGUUCAGCCUCUGGCUCCCAGUUGGAGCCAGUAACGCAAGUGUCACAUAUAAUGGGAGCGGCGUACAGGAUGUUUUUUCUGUAGGUGUCCAAUAUUGCAUCUGCACAGGAAGUGGAGUGUUACACCAGCUUUGGUUUGGUUCUGGUCCAUGGGUUUGUUUCCUGAUGCACUGUGUUGCAACGUGGUGGCUUCCAGACUGGUUCUGCCUUAUAUUUGGCUUUCCAGUGAGCAGUGGAGAGGAAUACAGAUAUGACUGUCCUUGCUGGAGUAGAUGGUCAUGUCCUAAAGGCUUUAACUGAUUAGGACAGUGCCCUUUCUCUAUAAACCUUGCUCUGUAAGAUAAGACAAAUGCUUUCUCAUACAAAGCUUAAUUCCUCUUUCAGCCUAAGAGAAUCUGUUUUUGGAGCAGGGUAGCGGUGAGGUUAUGAAGCUGUAGAGCCAGUUCUUCUACUGCUGCCCUCUCCAUGUCAUGUGAAAGUCUUUGAGUGAAAUUGCAGAGUAUUCAACCCUACACUAACACAAGGCUAUCAGAGAAAGUGAAGCUGAAAUAACAUUUACCUCUGUCCAAAAGGUAUACGGCUUUGCAGGCAGCUUGGUAAGAGCAAUGUUUCUGAUUUUGGUUGCAAUGAAUCUAAUGUAGAAGAACAUCCAUCCCAGAAGAACACUUUUUAAUUCCUAUUUCACAACCAUCCUCAUUCCCCAGGAUCUCAGUAGCUCAGCUCCAGGGGGCAUCAUUUACCAUGUAGGCUGCCUGCAGCAGUGGAAGCUGCUCAAUAAACCAUAUCAGGCUCUUGGCAAACUGCUUAUAUUAAACUUCAUGGACAUAUUAAAAUAUAGAUCAAAGGCUUCAAAGUCAUUGGAUGAUGUGGUGUGGCAUCUGCCUGUUGUAUUGGAAGUCAGUGUCCUGGAUGAAGGUUCUGCUAUGGAUUAAGAGGCGAGGCCAAUGGCAAGUGUCUGUUCCAUGUCCUUGGGAUUCUCAGAGCUGAGCAAGCAACAAAGCUGCAGUUAGCAACCUGUGACUGAUUUCCCUUGCCACAGAAAUGCAGCCGCCCCUGGAGAGUUCAUUUCACAUGCACAAUAGAAGUGUGAAAGUGAUGGAGGAGUGAUGAUUCCUUUCGAUUUCACAUUUUUUCUGAUCUCACGGUCUCAAGCAAGGGAGAAAGUGCCAUUAACAGGUAUGAUUUUCUGCAGAGGUGGAAAGAAUGAUACUCAACAGUUUUGUACAAUUGAGUCUACAUCUUCCUGUGUGUGAACAAGUUGAA